AUGUGGGCCUCCCUCCUCGCAUUUUCCGCGGUGGAAACUGAGGCUCUGAGAGGACCCAAGCCGUUCCUCCACGGACACCCGGCGCCCAUGGGCGGGGACUGCCAGGGACCCAGGCGGGACCAGCUAGGCCUUGGGCUGGCCCCGGUCCAGAGGGCUAUUGGUGGGCAGGAGCCGCCCCCACGCCCUCCCCGACUAAACAGGUCACCGAGAGGAGGCCGGGCCCUUGCCCGCGGGCUUCCCGGGCCGCGAGAGGCGCAAUUCUGGCAUUGGAGGCUCCAGGGAACUCCAGAAAUCCCAGAGAGAUUCCGGGCCACCAACUCCCCAGAAAGUUGGCUCGCGGCCACCCCCAAGACGGCCCUGAGGCGCGGGCCAAGAUGGUACUGGGCGGGCGGCGUACUGCGCCCAGCGGCCGCGGAGGAGAACCUCGCGCGACCCGGCCGUGGGGUAGGGGGUCUUCGCUGCCCCUGCCCGGCGCGCGCCGGCCUCGACGCCUUCCGCCGCACGCCGGGUGGGCACGCGCGCUCAGCCCUUCCCAGCGCCCGCCCCCGCCACGCGCCCCGCCCCGCCGCGCGCCGCCCGCCCGCCCGCGCCGCGGCAGAGCCUCCCAUUGGCCGCGCGCCGUCACCUGACGUCUGUUCCUGUGUGUUGGAAUGGAGAAAAACCCGAGCCGAGCCGCCUUCGGCCCUGCGAGGCGGCCGCGGCCUCCGCCAGGGAGCCGCCUGGGCGCGCGCCGACCGGGGGCAGCGCGCGAGGCGGGCGAGCCUCGAGGGGCCGCGGCCCCGGCCAGCCCCGCCGCCGGCCCGGGCGCCCGAGCUGGAGGCGGCGGAGCCACCCCACCCCCACCCACUUGCAGCGCCAUAUAAAUCAUACUGCUCCCUCCCCUCCCGCCCCGGCGAGGCCAGGAACUGGGCGGGGGCUCCAGCAGGUAACCGUCGCCCGGGCCUGAGGGGCAAGGAGAGGGUCGGGCCUGAGGGACUGGGGCCGGGCCGGGGUGUCCGGCCUGGGGGGCUGGGAGCAGAGGUCCUGGCAGGACCCAACCUGGGAAUGCGGAGCCUCCUGGACUCCAAGCCAGGGCUUGAGGUGCUGAGGGGAGUGUUGCUGCCCGGCCCGACACGAGAGUGCGGGCAGGGGCCCGGGCCAGGCCUGGCGUCAGAGGGCUGA
rnacentral:lncRNA from 1 species